CAAGACAAUCUAAUCAAUUACACCCGUUUGAGCGACUCGGAACUCAUUGUAACAUUUAAAACAAGUAAAUCAGCAGGUCACAUUUAGCAAAUGACAUCUUCUAUUCUCUUUCACCAAAAUGUAUUGACAGUGUACUACACAUCCCGCUCUUGGCGUCCUACUUAACCGAUAUCCAAAACGCAUCUUUGCAAUACAAAAAGCCCAAACAAUGCACUUACUGGAAACGGCAAGAUUGGUUAAUUUAUAAUUUGACAACUUGAAAAGGAAAACGUCAUGGUCAAAGUAAGUGGUAUGGCUUUCCACUAGUGUGCACGACUGGAUUUAAGCUUAGUCUUGAAACCCCAUAGAGCAGAAUGUCGGUCACUCUGGCCAGAGACACUAAUCCCUGCCCUGCCAGUGAAAAAUACUAGUUUUUUUUUUUUUUUUUCGUUUGGGGUUUGGAUUUACAAAGAAAAUAUCUCAUUACAAAGAGACGAAGGGGAAGCCCAAGUCUCCAGCUGCUCCUGUGUCCACCGCUAGAGGGAGAUUACUUGCUGCUCUCAUCUCCACUGCUAUAGGAUGAGUACCUACUGCUUUGCCACCACCACCAGAGGAGCUGGAGCUACCUCACGAGGGUCCGCUGUUGCCGUCGCCUCCCCAGGGUCCCCUGCUGCCGUCGCCUCCCGAGGGUCCGCUGCUGUCGCCGCCAGUUUGCAGAAUGCAUUUUGAAUGGGGAGACAAUCUGUUUCCAAGAGAGCACAGCUGACAACUGGAUUGCAAAGGGAUUGCGCUUACUUUAAUAAAUUCAUCUGGUGCCUUAAUAACCUACAGGAAAAGUAGUGGAAACACAUGCUUGUAUUUUUAUUAUUUAAUUCAAAUGCUUUAAUCUGCUUUUUUACAUCCCAUUCUUGCAAAAUGGACUCAUUUGUUUGAAACAAAUGAUAAGACAAUUGGAUUGUACAAACAAUUGUUCUGUAGAGCUGAAUUCAUCAACAAUUGUCAUGAAAUGCUAUAUUGGUUGAAUACAAACAUGUAUUUUCACCACAAUUCAAGUUCCAUUGUUCCAACUGUAUGGUUUAGUUCAUUGUUCAAAGUGUGUUCCAUAUUCUGUAUUCAUCCCCACCCAUCUACUUGUCCUAUAUUACCUUCAAGAGCCACUGGACACCCUGCUUUAUCAGACUGCUUGUUAAUGAUUGCUAUCGUUUAUAAUGCACACAUUUCACAUUUUGGGUUUUAUUUUGUUUAACCUGAAAUUUGGAACAAAAGCUAAUUGAGAGUGAGCCCCUACCAGUACACUGACAUUUAAGGACUAUGUAUAGAUUUAUUUCAAUCCUUCAUUGCUCAUUUGUGUACAUGGCUUCUUUUAUAAGUCAUUUAUAAUUCCUAUAAAUAUAGCCUUUUUAUAAUUCAAAAGAACAUAAUGUGAGGUUUCAAAUGCCUAGCUAUCAGUUGCCAAAGUAUAUUGCGGUUCUAAUAUUACUAUUUCACAGAUUGCUUGUGAUGAGUGCAACUUGUGGUUUCACUGGACAUGCACUGACCCAAAUAACCAGCCAACACAUGUGGAGAACGUUAUUUUUUUUAAUUUAAUAAAAUUUUUGCUACAAGUGCCUCAGAAAGCAUUCGAAGACAAAUGAGGCGUCCAUUACAACCACUUUUCUCAUUGGAUUAAUUACUCAAGUUCACUGCUAGAUGUUUGUAAUGUAUAUUCUUUCUAACUGCAUGUAGUACUUUGCACUUAUCUAUAUUAAACUUAAUCUGCCAAAUGUCUGGCCAGUUCUGAAGGGUGCCUAGAUACUUUAUUUCCUGUGCUGCUGUAACAGUACACCCCAGCUGUUUUGGUUUCUGCAGAUUUAAAUAUCUCGAUCAUUGACGUAAAUUAUGAAGAGCAGCAGGUUUAAUGCAGAUCCUUGUGGUAUGUCAAUAUUUUAUUCGCCGCAAUUUGAGGUUUUGCCUCUGACCAGUACUCU